CAUUGAUGGUGACAUCAAUUAGGUCGCCGAUGAGGUCAUCAGCAUUGGGUUGUUGAUGACGUUGUUGGGUCGUUGGGUCAUCGAUGAGGUCAUGAGGUCAUCGAUGAGGUCACUGAUGAGGUCAUCGGCGUUGGGUAAUGAUGAGAUUGUUGGGUCACCGAUGAGGUCAUCGGGCCAUUGAUGAGGUCAUUGGGUCAUUGAUGAGGUCAUUGGGUCAUCAAUGAUGUCAUUGGGUCACCAAUGAGGUCAUCGGGAUAUUGAUGUGGUCAUCGGGUCAUUGAUGAGGUCAUUGAUGAGGUCAUUGGGUCAUCAAUGAUGUCAUUGUGUCACCAAUGAGGUCAUCGGGUCAUUGAUGUGGUCAUCGGGUCAUUGAUGAGGUCAUUGAUGAGGUCAUUGGGUCAUCAAUGACGUCAUUAGGUCAUCAAUGAGGUAAUGGAGUCACAGAUUAGGUCACGUGUCACCAGUGACGUCAUCGAUGAGGUCACUGAGCGGGGGGGCUGUUGCCCAGUUGGGCGGGGGAUGGGUCGUUACUGGUCAGUGAUGGCUGCACUGGUGUGAUGGAACCGGCCAACGGCACCUCCACCACCCAACUGGGAUGG